rnacentral:siRNA from 1 species
UGCAAUAUGUGCCAACUGCUGCA